AUUGAGCGCUGUCGGCAGGCCUAACACAUGCAAGUCGAGCGGUAACAGAGAGAAGCUUGCUUCUUUGCUGACGAGCGGCGGACGGGUGAGUAACGCGUAGGAAUCUACCUAUUAGUGGGGGAUAAGCCAGAGAAAUUUGGUCUAAUACCGCAUACGCCCUACGGGGGAAAGGAGGGGCUCUUCGGACCUUUCGCUAUUAGAUGAGCCUGCGUAAGAUUAGCUAGUUGGUGAGGUAAGAGCUCACCAAGGCGACGAUCUUUAGCUGGUCUGAGAGGAUGAUCAGCCACACUGGGACUGAGACACGGCCCAGACUCCUACGGGAGGCAGCAGUGGGGAAUAUUGGACAAUGGGGGCAACCCUGAUCCAGCCAUGCCGCGUGUGUGAAGAAGGCCUUCGGGUUGUAAAGCACUUUCAGAUGUGAGGAAAGGUGAGUAGUUAAUACCUGCUUACUGUGACGUUAGCAUCAGAAGAAGGACCGGCUAACUCCGUGCCAGCAGCCGCGGUAAUACGGAGGGUCCGAGCGUUAAUCGGAAUUACUGGGCGUAAAGCGCGCGUAGGUGGUUUUGUCAGUCAGAUGUGAAAGCCCAGGGCUCAACCUUGGAACUGCACCUGAUACUGCAAGACUAGAGUACAAUAGAGGGGAGUGGAAUUUCCGGUGUAGCGGUGAAAUGCGUAGAGAUCGGAAGGAACACCAGUGGCGAAGGCGACUCCCUGGAUUGAUACUGACACUGAG
rnacentral:rRNA from 1 species